rnacentral:lncRNA from 1 species
UUUAUCCAAUUUUCUUUCAUUAAUUAUAAGUAUCAUUUUAGAGUUUUGGUAGAGGAUAAUUUUUUUUCUUCCAACUUUACCCUGAUAUUACAUAUUACUGAAAUAAUAAAGAGAAGUUGAAAAACACAAAGGGCUAGUUUUGUCAAACAAGAGUUUUUCCUUCUAAAAUCAACACUAUCUUAUAUUAAUUUUAACUGUUGUGCAUCAACCUUAAACGACACUUCAAAAAAAAUACGAACUCAUUCAUCUUAAUAUAUCGUAGUGCGCAAGACCAAUUAGUACAUCCAUAUAUCAAAAACCAUUGAAUUACAUAUACCCAGGGUUUCCUCCGAAAGUAUCCCUAAUUAAUAACUACGAUCGUAAUUUAAUUAAACGAGCACACAUAAUUAGCUUCUACAAAGCCACAAUUAGUGUAUGCAUAAUCAUGCAGCGGGAGCGUAAUCGUAGUCCGCAUCGUUGUCGUCGUCACCGUCGCCUUCUGCAAAUAUUAACGUGAUGACAUCAUCAAUGACGUCAUAUUUGUUAUUAUCUAGGUAUAAUUUCUUGUACCACGAGUACUGCUGAAUGAGGGCCAUUUUUGUAAUUUCGAGUUGAAAUUUACGAAAAAGAAAAUAAAUAAUAUCUAGUAAGGACUUAGGAAAAAAUAUAUAUAUUAU